AACCUCUAGAUUUCUUACCCAUCAGAUCUAAACACCAGUCUCAGUGAUUAUAAAUGGAAGAAGAGUAAUAUUGAAACUGACAAAAUCUUUUGUGAUGUACAAGCUAGUUUCACAGAAAG
rnacentral:snoRNA from 1 species